GAUGAACGCUAGCGAUAGGCCUAACACAUGCAAGUCGAGGGGCAUCACAUGAGGCAGCAAUGCCGAUGGUGGCGACCGGCGCACGGGUGAGUAACACGUAUGCAACCUGCCUUCAACAAGGGGAUAACCCGUUGAAAGACGGACUAAUACCCUAUAACACAGGGGUCCCGCAUGGGGAUAUUUGUUAAAGGACAACCGGUUGAAGAUGGGCAUGCGUUCCAUUAGCUAGUUGGCGGGGUAAGGCCCACCAAGGCAACGAUGGAUAGGGGAACUGAGAGGUUUAUCCCCCACACUGGUACUGAGACACGGACCAGACUCCUACGGGAGGCAGCAGUGAGGAAUAUUGGUCAAUGGACGCAAGUCUGAACCAGCCACGUCGCGUGAAGGAAGACGGCCCUACGGGUUGUAAACUUCUUUUGCAAGGGAAUAAAGUGGGCCACGUGUGGCCUUUUGCAAGUACCUUGCGAAUAAGGAUCGGCUAACUCCGUGCCAGCAGCCGCGGUAAUUACGC
rnacentral:rRNA from 1 species